UUCUAAUCAAUACUCCCACUCAAGUUGGUGCAAAAAUAUCACACAUAUCCAACUUGUAAACCAAGUUAUGAAGAGAUUUGUUACAAAUUCCUAUAAUGAAGACAUUUGUCACAUGUUCACUAGAAGACACAUGAUAUAGGCGUAAGGAGCCAUCAACCACUUUCUCUUUAAUGAAUAUCGAUCAAUGUCAAUAUGAUUUGUUCGGUUGUGUUGAACUGGAUUAUGAACAAUACUAAU
rnacentral:lncRNA from 1 species